CAGCAGCCACGGUAAUACAGAGGGUGCGAGCGUUAAUCGGAUUUACUGGGCGUAAAGCGUGCGUAGGCGGCUAAUUGAGUCGGAUGUGAAAUCCCCGAGCUUAACUUGGGAAUUGCAUUCGAUACUGGUUAGCUAGAGUGUGGGAGAGGAUGGUAGAAUUCCAGGUGUAGCGGUGAAAUGCGUAGAGAUCUGGAGGAAUACCGAUGGCGAAGGCAGCCAUCUGGCCUAAUACUGACGCUGAGGUACGAAAGCAUGGGGAGCAAACAGGAUUAGAUACCCCUGUAGUCCCUGUCUCUUAUAC
rnacentral:rRNA from 1 species